rnacentral:rRNA from 1 species
GCUCAGUAACACGUGGAUAACCUACCCUUAGGACCGGGAUAACCCUGGGAAACUGGGGCUAAUACUGGAUAGAUGAUUAUUCCUGUAAUGGUUUUUUGUUUAAAUGUUUUUUCGCCUAAGGAUGAGUCUGCGGCCGAUUAGGUAGUUGGUUAGGUAAUGGCUUACCAAGCCUAUGAUCUGUACGGGUUGUGAGAGCAAGAGCCCGGAGAUGGAACCUGAGACAAGGUUCCAGACCCUACGGGGUGCAGCAGGCGCGAAACCUCCGCAAUGUACGAAAGUGCGACGGGGGGAUCCCAAGUGUUAUGCUUAAAGGUAUGACUUUUCAUUAGUGUAAAAAGCUUUUAGAAUAAGAGCUGGGCAAGACCGGUGCCAGCCGCCGCGGUAACACCGGCAGCUCGAGUGGUAGCUGUUUUUAUUGGGCCUAAAGCGUUCGUAGCCGGUUUAAUAAGUCUUUGGUGAAAGCUUGUAGCUUAACUAUAAGAAUUGCUGGAGAUACUAUUAGACUUGAGACCGGGAGAGGUUAGAGGUACUCCCAGGGUAGAGGUGAAAUUCUGUAAUCCUGGGAGGACCGCCUGUUGCGAAGGCGGCUAACUGGAACGAACCUGACGGUGAGGGACGAAAGCUAGGGGCGCGAACCGGAUUAGAUACCCGGGUAGUCCUAGCCGUAAACGAUGCGGACUUGGUGUUGGGAUGGCUUUGAGCCGCUCCGGUGCCGAAGGGAAGCUGUUAAGUCCGCCGCCUGGGAAGUACGGUCGCAAGACUGAACCUUAAAGGAAUUGGCGGGGGAGCAC